rnacentral:rRNA from 1 species
GUGUCAGCCGCCGCGGUAAUACGUAGGAGGCGAGCGUUGUCCGGAAUUACUGGGCGUAAAGAGCGCGUAGGCGGCACUGUACGACCGCUGUGAAAGCCCCCGGCUCAACUGGGGAGGGUCAGUGGUAACGGCAGAGCUCUGAGUGCAGGAGAGGGAAGUGGAACUCCGGGAGUAGCGGUGAAAUGCGUAGAGACCCGGAGGAACACCAGUGGCGAAGGCGGCUUCCUGGUCUGCGACUGACGCUGUGGCGCGAAAGCUAGGGGAGCGAACGGGAUUAGAUACCCCGGUAGUCC